rnacentral:lncRNA from 1 species
ACGCAGAGUUUUACAGCACGUGUCAAGGCCGCGCAGUUUCCAGAAAAUAUGACGCGCGCUCGGAGAAUCUUGUCAGACGAGAAGGGUGUUGACCUCCAUCCCAAGCUGUGGCAGACGUGCUCGGUGCCUUAACAUUUACCACGACUGCAUGGUUAGAUUGGAUUCAUAUGCCUUAGAGUGGAAUGGAGAGGGCAAAAGAGGAGUCAAAGCUCCCGGCUCCAUGUGUUUUGUGGCCUGUAGAGCUGAAGCUGACUCACAUUGACUGCAGUCCUGAGGACACACUGGUACACUUUCAGGGCCAAUAUAUGACCAUCUGUGAACUGGACUACAACAUUCUUCAAGUUGAACUGGUUCAGAGGAAGAGUCCAAACAUCCAGAAGGAUUUGUUCCUACGUGUUUUUGCUGGACCAUGGAGAUGUGUUGAUUGUUGGGCCUAACCGUUUGUCCUGUAUAUCUGACACACUGCUUACGCUCCCACCAAAGAUUGUCUGCGGUUUCUUUGCCAACAUACUGCCAGUCCAGAACCGAUGGGACAGUUUGACAGAGAGUUAUUUCUCUUCCUUGAUAGGCAGUCAGAUUAAAGGAUAUAUCCAUGCCCGUCUGCCGUACCAUGUCCUCUUACUUGAAGCUCCAGACAUUAAUUGUGACUUGUUAAAACUGAGGCUUGGGAGACAUGUGGACACUAGUA